GUUUUUCUUUUCUAUUUGAUGUCGAUGUGUGUAUUUGUGUGACAAUUCUAUGUACAGUCAUGAGGAAACAAAUCUCCCUUCUAGGACGAACAAAGUCUAAGUCUAAAGAUAACAGACCUGAGGAC